GUGUGCAUGAGUGUACAUCAGCGUGUGUAUUUGUGAGUGCGUGUGCAUGACUGAGAGAGAAAGGGUGUGUGUGAGAGUAUGUGUGUGUGUGUGGAUGUGUGUGUGUAUAUGUGGGUGUGUGUCUCUAUGUGUAUCUGAGUGUGUAUGUGUGAGUGUGUGUGUAUGUGUAUACGAGUGUGUGUGGUGUGUGUGAGUGGGUAUAUGAAUGUGGUGUAUGUGUGUGCACGUGAGUGUGUGGGUGUGUGUGUCUGUGUAUCUGAGUGUGUAUGUGUGAGUGU